UGGACCCCGGGCCCCUCCACGGGCACCUCGGGCCGCGUCAGCACCCUCUGCCCCCUCCUCCUUCAGCCCUGAGGGUGCUCCUGCUCCCCACUCUGUGCAAUAGGGUGCUGAGUCCUGGACACCCCCCCCAAAACCACACUUGGGUAGAGUCACACGGGGUACAUCCCGGCCCCGAGGUCAGGACAUCCCAACAGCCUGGGAAAACACCGGCGCCUGCUUCGGGAAGAGGGAAUUCACCUUCCGUGGCUGCCCUGGCUUCGGCACAGCCCCGAUUCCUCAGCACGCCCAGACCUGGCACACAGGAGUUUGAUUGAGGAGCGGUGGCCGCAGCUCAUCCUCUGGCAGGAGCAGAAGAUGCAGGAGUCUGCGUAGCAGGUCUCUGAGCAGCCGCUGACGGCUCAGCCCCGCUGGAUCCGGCCGCGCAGGAGGGGACCAUGAACUGAGCAAGGAGCUGCCCAGAAUUCCCCCCCCCCUUUUUUUUUUUUUUUUUGGCUUUU